GGUAGUCUGGAGGUUCAGCACCCGUUAUAAGCAUUUAUUAAUGAGGUGAGAGAUAGAGAGAGAGUGUGAUUGAGAGAUUUCAGUUUUAGCAGCAUAACUGAUUGUUCAUUUAGAUGUGCUAAGGCUCUGCUGCCAUAGAUCAAGGAUCAAGAUAAGUGUGUCUGGACAACUCAGAGAACCCAAACACCAGCCCUGGGUCAGUGGCAGGUAUGGAAGCUAGCAUUAAGACAAGGCUUCCCACCUGGAUCUAAGAACCCUCCUUGCCCGCUGGCUUUCAAAAAUCUGCUCCUUCCAGGGCGACACUGGGCUGGCUCUCCCAUGGCCGCUAGAGAUGCCUACACUAAGGCUGACUCUGCCACAUUGUCACUCACGUUUAUGGCAGGGGUUGCCAGGUCUGUACUCUGUACUCAGGAUCAACAUCCCCUAAAUAAUUUGCUUCACCCAGUAAUUAUAUAUGCACAUCUAUACAAAUACAUACACAUAUCAUACACCUAUAUAUAUACAUAUAUAUAUAUGUAUAUAUAUAUUAUCCUUUUCGGAAGGGACACUGAGUAUCAUUUGAACGGAACCUUGGAGGGACCUGAAGCUUCUAUCAGUCAGAGGUAGGAGGAGAGAAUUUCAAGAGAGAAGGACAUCUUGUACAAAGGCAUGAAGGUCGGAGAUGGAAAUUUGUAUAUGGAGAACAUCAAAUAGGGUCACUGGGCAGUAGACAGUGUAUGAGGAGGAGGAGGAGGAGGAGUAUGUAUGUAAUUAUCCUGGAAAAAUGUCUAGGAGCCCGCUUGCAAAGGACAUGAAGUGCCAAAUAACAGAAUUCAUAUUUUUUCUUAGAAGUAACAGUAAAACAUUGAUGCUUCUUCUGAUGAUCACAGCAAUAGCUCCCCUUUACAUAGCACUCUAAAGUGAAUAGCAUGGGCAGGGCUGUGUUUUAGGAAAAUCAAAUGGACGGGUUGGUGAAAGGGGAGGCUGGGAGCAAAGGAUCAAUGAGGAAGCUAUUGUGGUAGUCUAGAUGAUAGACAGAUGACAGAGGACCAAAGGAGGAUUACAGUUAGAUGACUAGAGAAAAGAAGACAGAUGUGAGAGAAAUUGUCGGGGUAGAAUCAAUAAGACUUGAUUAAUUUAAUGUGGAGGAUGAGUAAGAGUAAAGCAUCGUGGAAGCUUUAGGUUCUGAACUUGGAUGACUUGAAUGAUGAUGGUCCCACUGAUAGAACUAGGGAAAUUAGGAUAGGUGGGUUUGGGAGGGGAAAAAAAGCAAUGAAUUCUAUGUUAGAUAUAUUAAGAUUGAGAUGCCUAUGGAACAUCCAGGUGAAUGUGCUCAGCAUAACAUUGUAAAUGGAGUUCUGGAGACAGACAAAGACUGGUUAUGUGGAGCUGGGAGCAAAGUGAUAAUAGUUGAAGUCAAGGAACCAGAAAAGAUCACUCAGGAGAAUGCAGAGUAAGAAAGGAGACCCCCAAGCAAAACACCUGAGUACAUCUACAAAUUUGAGGAGUGUCAGGUAAGAUUUACUUGGGAUUUCAAUGAGAUGGGGAGGGAAAGGAGGGAAUGAGCAUUUAUUAAAUAAAUUCAAAUCCUGCCUCAGAUACUUAUCAGUUGUAUGAUUUGGUAAUCCUAGGCAAGCCACUUAAACCCUGUUUGAUUCAGUUUCCUCUGCUAUAAAAUUGGGAUAAUAAUAGCAUUAUCUCCCAGGGUCAUUAUGAAGAUCAAAUGAGCUUAUAUAUACAUGUAUACAAAUAUAUAAAUUGGUAUUUAACAUAUUUUAAUAUGUAUGUAUUUUUAAAAUGGUUAGCACAGUGACUGGAACAUAGUGAGUGCCAUUAGCUAUUAUUAUUAUAAGUAUUACUAUUAUUACUUUGUAUCAGACUUUGUUCUAAGUGAUUCACAAUUAUUAUCUCAUUUGACGCAUACAGCCUGAUGAGGUAGAUCCUAGCAGUAAUGGAGAUAUGUUUACUCUGAAGCCACAUAAUGACACAUAAAAACUGUGGGACUAUUAUAUAAAAGAGGAAUUUCCCUUUUUUUUUUUUGGAGCUGAAGUAUCCCAUCAUUGUUUCAUUUUAUAGCUCCCACAUCCUUCCUCAAAGUAAUAUCUGGGAUAUCCUCACUAAAAUAUUAACAUUACUGGAAAUUAAUUUUGCUUUGAGCUUUUUUAUUUAAAAUACCUAUAUCAAUUAGGAUCAUGCUAAAACCAAGCUAAAACCAUAAUAACAAAAGGCAGAACAGAUGAAUACAGUCCAUGGAUCUCUGCCUUCUAAUUGAUCUGGAUGGUUUCGAAGUUGAUUUGGAGGUCACAUAUGUGCACAGAGGGAAUAGAAUGGUUUUGACGACAUAUAUUGACUAGUUUUACUUAGGCUCCCUGUUUCCUCUGGAUGUGCAGACAAUGGCCUUAGUCAAAAGCAUGUUUGUGAAAGGUUGAUGUUUAUAGUUCCUUAAUCUUGUGUAACAGGGAACAGAGAUAAAUGAAUGUUGGCCUAGAGCAGAUUUGCUGACUGCAUAGGGCAUUACCGUACCAAAAUGGUUGUUGAAAAUGAUUUAUAAGGCUGUCGUAACAUAUUUCCUUCAGAUAUUUUUGGUGGGGGAUGGGUGUCUGGAUCUGAGUUAGUGUGGAAACUCCCUCCAUUGUUUCUUUUUGGCAGGUAAUAUUAAGAGGGAUGCUGAGAAAUUAAAUAAUUUGGGCAAGCUAACUAACACAACUAUUGUUUGUUAAAGGCCAUACACGAACCUAAGUCCUAACUGCAAGACUAGCCUUUUAAAGUGGUCAUUGUUGGGUUUCAUUUUUGUCCAAGUGGACACUAACUCCCAAGGUAAGAUGGGGAGAAAGCAGAUGCCUUUCCUCUAUGAAUUUUUAUUUUUCAUUUCUCUUUUUGUAAAGUUUAAUCAUUUAGAUCAAUGACUGACCUUUCAGAUAAUGUUAAACAGGUCACACAGCAUUUGGAAAUUGUGCUUACACUGGAAGAAUAAGAGAAUAUUGGAACCACACCCUUCCUCUCUAAGGAGCACACAUGGAGGGAUUGCCAACGGAUAUUUAUGACUGCAGGAGGAGAAGCACAUCAUAACAGGAGUUCUAUAGAUCCUUCAAUUGGCUCCCAGCCUCCAUAUGCCAUAUCUCCUGGCCUCCUGGCUUCUGUGACUUCUGUGCCACCAUGCUGACUGACCCAGGCAUGUGAUUUUGUGAUUCCUAUGUUCACCCACUAUGGAAUCAGCAGGAGUGAAUGGGGACAUUCAGUGAGCUGCGAGUUCAGAUCCUCAAAGGUGAAAAGAAGAAUGACAGUGGUAAGAAGAAUGAAACAGAUACUGCAGUAUCAAGAGGGAGGAUCAAAGAAGCUGAUGGCAAUCAAGGGCUAUUUUAUUGAGGGUAAUCUCAGUUUUUAUAGGGGGAGAAAAACAAGCUGAAGCUUUGACACACACUUUCCACAUCCAUAGUAAAAUGCAAUGAUUAACAGAGAGACCUUAAGUGAUCACAGUAUACCCUGUCAUACAUUAGUGAUUUAUCAGAUAUAUGUUUUGCAAGAGUCUGAGAGAUGGGAGAAUUUCCAUAGAUUACUUUCUACAUACAUAGAGUUUCCCUGAUUUAUAUGAUACAUACAUAAGAGUUUGUUUAUGUUAUCUACACUUUUAGUGGUUUCUAGGGGUAUUGGACACAAACAUGCCCUUGGUGGAGGAGAGAUAGGAGGGGAAAUGUGACUGGGGAUAUUCUGCUCUAUGGACUUGAGCCUUGUUUGAGGGUCUCUUGACCCAAGCUUUGCUUGGGGAUCUCAGCCUGCUAUAAGCAGGGUUCCAAAGAUAUCUAUUAAUGCUUCCUAUAAAUUACAUUUAUACAACUCAGAUGAACACAAACAUCUACAUGUUCAGCACAUGAAUUUUCCCUUGAAUUGUGGUGGAACCAUUUUGAACAAACUCAAGAGAAAAAAAUUGUUAAAUUUUCAUAGUGAGCAUUUAUACCUCAGAAAUAGGCAAACACUACAAAUCAGGGUUUGAUUUUUUAAAGUUGCCUAGGCUUAAGAAAAUGAUGAAAAAAUGUUAAUAAUUAAAUGCAAAACUACAUCAUACAUGGAUUUUCUCUCCACCCCCCCCCCCCCAGUGCUGGUUUUACCAACAUACCAUUGAUUCUUUGUCACUGGACAUAUUCAAAUAAAGACUGAACAAUCAUUUUAUGUAUAUUUUAUU